rnacentral:rRNA from 1 species
CAUGCAAGUCGAACGGUCCCUUCGGGGAUAGUGGCGGACGGGUGAGUAACGCGUGAGGAUCUGGCUACAGGACGGGGACAACGAAUGGAAACGUUCGCUAAUACCCGAUGUGCCGAGAGGUGAAAGAUUUAUUGCCUGUAGAUGAACUCGCGUCGGAUUAGCUAGUUGGUAGGGUAACGGCCUACCAAGGUUAUGAUGGGUAGCCGACCUGAGAGGGUGAUCGGCCACACUGGGACUGAGACACGGCCCAGACUCCUACGGGAGGCAGCAGUGAGGAAUUUUGCGCAAUGGGGGAAACCCUGACGCAGCGACGCCGCGUGGAGGAUGACGGCCUUCGGGUUGUAAACUCCUGUCAGAGGUGAAGAAUCCCCGCAAGGGGUAGACG